AUCCUUUUUCCCUCUCUAUUGCUCUCCGUCCAACCGUCUCUCGCGAGCUGCUCCUCCUCGCCGCCUCUGCACCCUGAGGGGACCCGGCCGUCGCACUGCUCCGGCCCACAACCCCUGCUCCAUUUGAGGUCUCUCCGUUGCGCCCCGCUCGUGCGUCCCGGGGGACCCGUAUCCUCCGUCUUCUCGUUGCGCGCCCGCCGCCGGGCAAGACCUUCUCCUUUGCGCCUGCGCUCAUGGGCGGCGACCGUGGUGCUGCCGCUGCCGCUGCACGCAAGCGCUCCCGUGAGGUCCUCAACCCUGCUUUCUGCGCGCUUGAGGCGGAGUCCAAGAUGAGCCCCGCUCUGCUCUACUCUUGACCGCAUCGCCCGAAGUCUGGGUGCUCAGCCUCAUCACCUGGAUGACUCCAACGCUUUCGUUUCUUCCUGCCCUGCAGCCUAUCCACGCAACCCCCAAGGCCGAGCCCUGUGUCCGCUGCGUCAGUCUUCAACUGCAGUGCGUGUUCAAGGCUUCUACUGAGCCUACCGGCUACUUUAACUUGGCUGUGUUUGGAUGGGCAAAAUUGUGAGUUCACUAGCAUCAGUUUCUUCUGAAUUUGUGCACGCUUGGGGUGAUAAAUUCGAAGAACAGGCAGCUCGUGAUGAUUCCCAAACCUUGAGUUGAAUGUUUUCAUGAUUAUGGUUAACGCUUCUUCCUUUUGGUUUUUUCAGCUGUUUGAUUGAUCUUUUCAGACUUUUAUUGCUGUCGUGAUUUUUCUUGGCAGGAGGGAAUCGUUAAGAGUGAAGGGGGAAGUUAUUCCUGGUCCUGGGUCGGUCUGAUUGGUACCAGGGGCAGCAGAGUUUGUUCUUUUUUUUUUCCGGCUGCAAUGCAAGGUUGGCACCGAGAAGUCUGUGAUGUCUCUCAUAAAUGAUUUCCGGGCGUGUUCCCAACAUUUGAUGAAGAGAGCCAGCAACAAACAUGGCACACUACAUCUCGAGAGUCAGGUGCAGGAGUUCACGCCUGCAUCCUUCGUAACAAGAGGCGUGCUGCUACGUAUCCAUCAAAGCGAAUUGAGUCACCGUGUUAGGUGGGAGGACUUCCAUCAUAGAUUGUCAAUAGCUAAUUAGAACUUGAAUAUAAUCUCAAAUAGAUCUGAUGCAAAUGAUAGAAAUGUCUGUCAAUCUUAGAUUUUCGGGGUGCUAUCAUUUACCGACAAAAAUGGUGAAUUUUUCCUUUGUAUCAUAGGUUGUUGAACGUUGACUAAUUUAAUAAACACUUUUGUAUGGUUAGAUAUUUAACAAGAUGCCAGGGUAAUUAUGUUAA